GUAUGGAGAUCUUGGGAGCUUUGAUAUUUAUUUCAGGCAUCUUGAACUUGGGGCCCUUUAGUUUCGCAUCUGGACCUUCGAUAUUCACAUCAGGAACAUCAACGUCCACUUUGGGUCCUGAGACAUCAAUGUCAGCCUUGGGCAGGUUCACGUCCACAUCUGGACCUUCUCCUUUGAAGCCAGGCAUGCUGAUCUUGGGCAUUUUUAUCUUGGGCAUCUUUAGGUGCCAGUCUGGGCCAUGAACA
rnacentral:lncRNA from 1 species